ensembl:lncRNA
GAAACACAGCAGCAUGGCUGGAACUGUCAAGAGUCAAAGAUAAGAGGGUCAGGAGAGGUGACAGAUGGCCACCAUGAAGGUAAAGCUCCACCUGUAUGAAGUCCAUCUCUCCACCUACCUGUCUGCAGGUUGUUGGUGGAGGCAGGCCGACGACUGCAGAUGAAGGAGGACGAGGAAGCAGCAGCAGCAGCGUUUCCACGGUGAAGCCAUCGCUGUGGUGACCAGAGUGUGAUUCCAGCCAGGCUGUGUCUUGUCCCAGCUUCCUGUAAUCUACUUUAAUCAGCCCACUGCCUCUAAGCCCUGCUGACAGAUGGAGCAAUCAGCCAAUCAGGGCUUGGCAAGGUUUCCCCACUUGCUGCCACAUCAUGGACCCCAGGAACAAGACAAGCUGGGGAGGAGUUUAUCAACUAUCAAGUCAUGCAGGUGUCUCUUCAAAGCCAAGAAGACCUUGACAUAGAGCACUUCUGGGCAGAAUUGGCAAACAGGAAACACAAGGUAUCAUGUUUAUACACCAAAAACACAAUGGAAAUAAGCUCUGAUCUG